UAGGUCAGCCAACUGUUGGAAUAGUUGGUUUAAGCGUGUAGGCGUGCUCUAUAGGCAAAUCCGUAGAGCUUAGCUGAGGCGUGAUGACGAGGUGCCACGUGCACUGAAGUGAUUGAUCCCAUGCUUCCAGGAAAAGCCUCUAAGCUUCAGUUCCAAAUUGACCGUACUGCAAACCGACACAGGUGGGUAGGGUGAGAAUCCUAAGGCGCUUGAGAGAACUCAGGAGAAGGAACUCGGCAAAUUGACACCGUAACUUCGGGAGAAGGUGUGCCCUUGUAGGGGUGAAGUCCCUUGCGGAUGGAGCUCGAAAGGGUUGCAGUGAAAAGGUGGCUGCGACUGUUUAUUAAAAACACAGCACUCUGCAAACACGAAAGUGGACGUAUAGGGUGUGACGCCUGCCCGGUGCUGGAAGAUUAAAUGAUGGGGUGCAAGCUCUUGACUGAAGUCCCAGUAAACGGCGGCCGUAACAAUAACGGUCCUAAGGUAGCGAAAUUCCUUGUCGGGUAAGUUCCGACCCGCACGAAUGGCU
rnacentral:rRNA from 1 species